GAUCUUAUUCUGGAGAUUGUUUCUUAUGGAGUUUGCUGCAAACCUAUGAUACUGGGUAAUAGGUUCAAUGAACUGCCUUUGUACCUUGACUGCCAUAGGCCUUGAUACAGACAUUAUUUUCCAUCUGAUAACUUCUGCCUUUCACGUACUUCGGACUAUAUGCUACUUGCACAUUGACUUCUCCUGAUGCUGUCAGAGACAUACGGGAUUGUCUGAACCAAGAGAAUGUCAGCAGUUUUUGUCACCAUGAAAUGCCUCCAAAUGAUAGGAUACACACCUGGCAUACAGCCUGAAGGAAUCAUAAAUCUAAAGGGAAAGGCAAGUCUGGUAUUUGUAUCACUGGAAACAUCAAUUUCCUACAGAGGAACAAUUGGAUUAUAUGAAGCAGACUGAGGAACUAAUCAACAUGCUGAUUCAAUUGAACAUUCAAAAGUGAUGUGUCUGUUUCCUUUGUCACGAGUUAACAUGUUUUUUCAUAUGGAUAUAGUUCAGCUGUGUUGCUAGAAACAUUUUAACCAGUAUUUUAUAUAUAGUAGCAGGAAUUUUUAAUGUUGCUAUCAUUGAUCACAGUCAGCUGUAAUUCUGCUACAUUCUAUAACAACAUUCUGAAACAAAUCAGGCCAUGUUUGUACCUGGCUGGGAGAACUCCAGUUACGACCUUUCUGUUGCUACAUAUGGAUAUCUGGCUGAGAAUUUGUCAUUCUUUUCUUUUUUCCAUUAGUGAACAAAUUUCCUGGAUGUUGUAAUAGGCCACUGUCUAUCUAGAAUUGCAGAUUCUUGAAGAACAUUUAAAAUGUUUCUUCUUGAGAUCCAGCAUUAUU